rnacentral:rRNA from 1 species
GACGAACGCUGGCGGCGUGCCUAAUACAUGCAAGUCGAGCGCAGGAAAUCGACGGAACCCUUCGGGGGGAAAUCGACGGAAUGAGCGGCGGACGGGUGAGUAACACGUAAAGAACCUGCCCUCAGGUCUGGGAUAACCACGAGAAAUCGGGGCUAAUACCGGAUGGGUCAUCGGACCGCAUGGUCCGAGGAUGAAAGGCGCUUCGGCGUCGCCUGGGGAUGGCUUUGCGGUGCAUUAGCUAGUUGGUGGGGUAAUGGCCCACCAAGGCGACGAGGCAUAGCCGACCUGGGAGGGUGAGCGGCCACACUGGGACUGAGACACGGCCCAGACUCCUACGGGAGGCAGCAGUAGGGAAUCUUCCACAAUGGACGAAAGUCUGAUGGAGCAACGCCGCGUGAACGAUGAAGGCCUUCGGGUCGUAAAGUUCUGUUGUAAGGGAAGAACAAGUGCCGCAGGCAAUGGCGGCACCUUGACGGUACCUUGCGAGAAAGCCACGGCUAACUACGUGCCAGCCGCCGCGGUAA